CAGAGUUAUCUAACUCCCAAACCCAUGUGAACUUACCAUUUGUUGCCUCGGCAGAGCCUACCCGGUAACUGUUCGGAGAAGCUACCCUGUAGCUACCCUGUAACGGCCUACCCUGUAACGUCCUGCCGGUGGACUUUUAAACUCUUGUUAUUUUAUAGUAAUCUGAGCGUCUUAUUUUAAUAAGUCA
rnacentral:misc_RNA from 1 species